rnacentral:rRNA from 1 species
CAGCCGCCGCGGGAAUACGUAGGGUGCGAGCGUUAAUCGGAAUUACUGGGCGUAAAGCGUGCGCAGGCGGUUUUGUAAGACAGAGGUGAAAUCCCCGGGCUCAACCUGGGAACUGCCUUUGUGACUGCAAGGCUAGAGUACGGCAGAGGGGGAUGGAAUUCCGCGUGUAGCAGUGAAAUGCGUAGAUAUGCGGAGGAACACCGAUGGCGAAGGCAAUCCCCUGGGCCUGUACUGACGCUCAUGCACGAAAGCGUGGGGAGCAAACAGGAUUAGAUACCCGUGUAGUCCCUGUCUCUUAUAC